rnacentral:rRNA from 1 species
CAGCAGCCGCGGUAAAACAGAGGGUGCGAGCGUUAAUCGGAUUUACUGGGCGUAAAGCGUGCGUAGGCGGCUAAUUGAGUCGGAUGUGAAAUCCCCGAGCUUAACUUGGGAAUUGCAUUCGAUACUGGUUAGCUAGAAUGUGGGAGAGGAUGGUAGAAUUCCAGGUGUAGCGGUGAAAUGCGUAGAGAUCUGGAGGAAUACCGAUGGCGAAGGCAGCCAUCUGGCCUAACACUGACGCUGAGGUACGAAAGCAUGGGGAGCAAACAGGAUUAGAGACCCGCGUAGUCCCUGUCUCUUAUAC